UACGUAGGGUGCAAGCGUUAAUCGGAAUUACUGGGCGUAAAGCGUGCGCAGGCGGUUCUUUAAGUCCGGUGUGAAAUCCCCGGGCUUAACCUGGGAAUGGCGAUGGAGACUGCAAGGCUGGAGUUUGGCAGAGGGGGGUAGAAUUCCACGUGUAGCAGUGAAAUGCGUAGAGAUGUGGAGGAACACCGAUGGCGAAGGCAGCCCCCUGGGUCAAAACUGACGCUCAUGCACGAAAGCGUGGGGAGCAAACAGG
rnacentral:rRNA from 1 species